CCACCUUCCACCAACAUGGAUAAUUUAAAAAGACAUCCCUGGUGUAUCUUAAAAGAAUCAAAAUUCCAAAGUGGGGUCAGCAAUGUAGUUUAGCUUCCUUUAUUUGUCAUUAGAAGAGAUGAUGAAAUAGAUUAUUUCUAAAGUCCCUUUCUGUUAAGUUCAGCUAUACUUCUGAGUAUGCUUCCAAGAAAGUGGGAUCUGCUUGGGUGCCUCAGGUACCUCCCCCUGGGAUCGUUGUGUUUCAUCAGUUAGACUCAAAUUGGUGCAAACAGAAAGCACCCUGCAUAUCCAGAAAGGAAUCAAUCCA
rnacentral:lncRNA from 1 species